rnacentral:sRNA from 1 species
AUUACCUGUCUUGAAGCAAUGAUUCCAUUAAUACCGUAACAGAAUCCUUCCUUCCUGUAACAGAAUCCCGAAUAACACCCUGCUACAUCUCCUAACUUCUUGCUCUUUCCUCAAAUGUCGCAAAGGAUCAGCCUUCCUUGCAGAGCUCACUCAGAUACUAAAGACUUAACUAGCUACUUCCAGGCCAUCUGAGCUGCGCGUGCGUGCGCGGGGACCCUCCCUCGCCUCGCUGGCUGGUCGGUGACCUGAUCCUCUUUGGUGGAUCUCGUGGUGGUUUUAUUUUCUCAGCAACAUCUCCGCCCCCUUCUGCUGUAGCUGAAUCUUGUGAGUAAGAUUCCUAGGGCCCCAGUCCCAUGUCAAGGUUUGUGCAAGGCCCAGUCAGCUUGAAGUUUGGAACCGGGACCUCUGUCGGAAGGAAUGGGACGUGGCCGGACAGCGGUUUGGCCUCGUUCCCCUCCACCUUUGGACAGCUUGGGGAGGUGCUGAGGGUUAAUGUGAAAUGGGACAGCAUAGAAGACUGAAGAUGGGAAAGAAGUCAUAAGAAGCUUCCCUGAGGACCUUUGAGGGGAAGAGCGUCUCACAUUAAGAGAGGCCUAGACCUGACCGACAAAUUCUACCUUGAUUAUUCUACAAAUUCUAUCUGAAAGAAAGGAGAGAAAAGAAUGGGCAAAAAGUGAUCCACAGUUGAGAUCUGUGGCUAUGCCUCCUCUCAAUAUAUCUCUGUGAAGCUGGUUCAGCCUGAAUCACAAUUUAAGAAUUAUUUGUCUACAGAUGUCCCCACCUUAAAUAAAUGUCUAUUGUAACCAU